UACGUAGGGGGCAAGCGUUAUCCGGAUUUACUGGGUGUAAAGGGAGCGUAGACGGAUUUGCAAGUCUGAUGUGAAAAUCCGGGGCCCAACCCCGGAACUGCAUUAGAAACUGUAUAUCUAGAGUGUCGGAGAGGCAAGUGGAAUUCCUGGUGUAGCGGUGAAAUGCGUAGAUAUCAGGAGGAACACCAGUGGCGAAGGCGGCUUGCUGGACGAUGACUGACGUUGAGGCUCGAAAGCGUGGGGAGCAAACAGG
rnacentral:rRNA from 1 species